CUGCAAGUCGAACGGUGAUAUCGGAGCUUGCUCUGGUUGAUCAGUGGCGAACGGGUGAGUAACACGUGAGUAACCUGCCCUUGACUCUGGGAUAACUCCGGGAAACCGGGGCUAAUACCGGAUACGAGACGCGACCGCAUGGUCGGCGUCUGGAAAGUUUUUCGGUCAAGGAUGGACUCGCGGCCUAUCAGCUUGUUGGUGAGGUAAUGGCUCACCAAGGCGUCGACGGGUAGCCGGCCUGAGAGGGCGACCGGCCACACUGGGACUGAGACACGGCCCAGACUCCUACGGGAGGCAGCAGUGGGGAAUAUUGCACAAUGGGCGAAAGCCUGAUGCAGCGACGCCGCGUGAGGGAUGAAGGCCUUCGGGUUGUAAACCUCUUUCAGUAGGGAAGAAGCGAAAGUGACGGUACCUGCAGAAGAAGCGCCGGCUAACUACGUGCCAGCAGCCGCGGUAAUACGUAGGGCGCAAGCGUUGUCCGGAAUUAUUGGGCGUAAAGAGCUCGUAGGCGGUUUGUCGCGUCUGGUGUGAAAACUCAAGGCUCAACCUUGAGCUUGCAUCGGGUACGGGCAGACUAGAGUGUGGUAGGGGUGACUGGAAUUCCUGGUGUAGCGGUGGAAUGCGCAGAUAUCAGGAGGAACACCGAUGGCGAAGGCAGGUCACUGGGCCACUACUGACGCUGAGGAGCGAAAGCAUGGGGAGCGAACAGGAUUAGAUACCCUGGUAGUCCAUGCCGUAAACGUUGGGCACUAGGUGUGGGGCUCAUUCCACGAGUUCCGCGCCGCAGCUAACGCAUUAAGUGCCCCGCCUGGGGAGUACGGCCGCAAGGCUAAAACUCAAAGGAAUUGACGGGGGCCCGCACAAGCGGCGGAGCAUGCGGAUUAAUUCGAUGCAACGCGAAGAACCUUACCAAGGCUUGACAUACACCGGAAUCAUGCAAAAAUGUGUGCGUCUUCCGACUGGUGUACAGGUGGUGCAUGGUUGUCGUCAGCUCGUGUCGUGAAAUGUUGGGUAAGUCCCGAACGAGCGCACCCUCG
rnacentral:rRNA from 1 species